rnacentral:rRNA from 1 species
CCUACGGGAGGCAGCAGUGGGGAAUAUUGGACAAUGGGCGAAAGCCUGAUCCAGCAAUGCCGCGUGAGUGAUGAAGGCCUUAGGGUCGUAAAGCUCUUUUACCAGGGAUGAUAAUGACAGUACCUGGAGAAUAAGCUCCGGCUAACUCCGUGCCAGCAGCCGCGGUAAUACGGAGGGAGCUAGCGUUGUUCGGAAUUACUGGGCGUAAAGCGUACGUAGGCGGUUAUUCAAGUCAGAGGUGAAAGCCCGGGGCUCAACCCCGGAACUGCCUUUGAAACUAGAUAGCUAGAGUCUUGGAGAGGUCAGUGGAAUUCCGAGUGUAGAGGUGAAAUUCGUAGAUAUUCGGAAGAACACCAGUGGCGAAGGCGACUGACUGGACAAGUACUGACGCUGAGGUACGAAAGCGUGGGGAGCAAACAGGAUUAGAUACCCUGGUAGUCCACGCCGUAAACGAUGAUAACUAGCUGUCCGGGUACUUGGUAUCUGGGUGGCGCAGCUAACGCAUUAAGUUAUCCGCCUGGGGAGUACGGUCGCAAGAUUAAAACUCAAAGGAAUUGACGG